UACAGAGGGGGCAAGCGUUGUUCGGAAUUACUGGGCGUAAAGGGCGCGUAGGCGGCCACCGCAAGUCGACUGUGAAAUCUCCGGGCUUAACCCGGAAAGGUCAGCCGAUACUGCGGGGCUAGAGUGCAGAGGGGGCAACUGGAAUUCUCGGUGUAGCGGUGAAAUGCGUAGAUAUCGAGAGGAACACCUGCGGCGAAGGCGGGUUGCUGGGCUGACACUGACGCUGAUGCGCGAAAGCUAGGGGAGCGAACGGG
rnacentral:rRNA from 1 species